rnacentral:rRNA from 1 species
GAUGAACGCUGGCGGCGUGCCUAAUACAUGCAAGUCGAGCGAACAGACGAGGAGCUUGCUCCUCUGACGUUAGCGGCGGACGGGUGAGUAACACGUGGAUAACCUACCUAUAAGACUGGGAUAACUUCGGGAAACCGGAGCUAAUACCGGAUAAUAUAUUUAACCGCAUGGUUCAAUAGUGAAAGACGGUUUUGCUGUCACUUAUAGAUGUAUCCGCGCCGCAUUAGCUAGUUGGUAAGGUAACGGCUUACCAAGGCAACGAUGCGUAGCCGACCUGAGAGGGUGAUCGGCCACACUGGAACUGAGACACGGUCCAGACUCCUACGGGAGGCAGCAGUAGGGAAUCUUCCGCAAAGGGCGAAAGCCUGACGGAGCAACGCCGCGUGAGUGAUGAAGGUCUUCGGAUCGUAAAACUCUGUUAUUAGGGAAGAACAAAUGUGUAAGUAACUAUGCACGUCUUGACGGUACCUAAUCAGAAAGCCACGGCUAACUACGUG